UGGCGGCGCGCUUACACAUGCAAGUCGAGCGAGAAAGUGGAGCAAUCCAUGAGUAAAGCGGCGUACGGGUGAGUAACACGUGGGUGAUCUACCUCUUAGUGGGGAAUAACCCUGGGAAACCGGGGCUAAUACCGCAUAAGCCUGAGAAGGGAAAGCAGCAAUGCGCUGGGAGAGGAGCCCGCGGCCGAUUAGCUAGUUGGUGGGGUAAUGGCUCACCAAGGCGACGAUCGGUAGCCGGCCUGAGAGGGCACACGGCCACACUGGCACUGAAACACGGGCCAGACUCCUACGGGAGGCAGCAGUGGGGAAUCUUGCACAAUGGAGGCAACUCUGAUGCAGCGACGCCGCGUGAGCGAUGAAGCCCUUCGGGGUGUAAAGCUCUUUCGGCAGGAACGAUAAUGACGGUACCUGCAGAAGAAGCUGCGGCUAACUACGUGCCAGCAGCCGCGGUAAUACGUANGCAGCGAGCGUUGUUCGGAAUUACUGGGCGUAAAGAGUGUGUAGGCGGUGCUCUAAGUUCGGUGUGAAAUCUCCUGGCUUAACUGG
rnacentral:rRNA from 1 species